UAACGCGGAGGAAUCAGAAUUGUCCUCUUCUGAUUCGGACGAUAUGGACGAAUUUUAUCAAAAUUUUUGUUUAUAUCACGAACCAAUUACACCUUUUAAACAGAAAAAAAAUCAUUGAAGAGGGCGUUUUCGUAUUUAGAAAAACAUUCCUUGGUUAAAGAAACCAUCUUUGAAAAAGACGAAUUCGAUUACGAUUCGUCCAAAGAUUAUGAUUCGUCCAAAGAUGACGUCAGUUGUACUAAUACCGAAAGUGACGUCACGUCAAAAUCAUAUUCGGAAUUAAGUGAAGAAUUAAACGUAUCAGAUCAAGAAACCAAUGAAAAUAAAGCAACAAUGGAAAGAAAUAAAGAGUCAAGUGAAUCGAAAGACAUAAAAAAUGCUAAUGAAUCUACAUCCAAAAGUGAAUUGUCGGCAGAGGAUGAUGACGGAGAAACAACCAAAUGUUUUGCGGUUUUCAUUGCAUUUUUCCGCAGGAUUUCUUCCAUCGUCUGUUUUGGUUUCCGAAGAAAAAAUAAAAUAUUGCCAAUAGUUUAAAUAAAUUUGUAGAAGAUCGAGCGAAUUUCAAAUUUUACAUUUCGGUGAGUUCAAACAAUUCAAUCAGUGUUCGUUUAUAUUCGUAUUUUUCUUAACGUAUAAAAAUGAAUGUUACAUUCCAGAUUACUUUUUUAAUAUUAACUGAAAA